AGUCGACGGUACAGGUCUUCGGAUGCUGACGAGUGGCGAACGGGUGAGUAAUACAUCGGAACGUGCCUAGUAGUGGGGGAUAACUACUCGAAAGAGUAGCUAAUACCGCAUGAGAUCUACGGAUGAAAGCAGGGGACCUUCGGGCCUUGUGCUACUAGAGCGGCUGAUGGCAGAUUAGGUAGUUGGUGGGGUAAAGGCUUACCAAGCCUGCGAUCUGUAGCUGGUCUGAGAGGACGACCAGCCACACUGGGACUGAGACACGGCCCAGACUCCUACGGGAGGCAGCAGUGGGGAAUUUUGGACAAUGGGCGAAAGCCUGAUCCAGCAAUGCCGCGUGCAGGAUGAAGGCCCUCGGGUUGUAAACUGCUUUUGUACGGAACGAAAAGCCUGGGGCUAAUAUCCUCGGGUCAUGACGGUACCGUAAGAAUAAGCACCGGCUAACUACGUGCCAGCAGCCGCGGUAAUACGUAGGGUGCAAGCGUUAAUCGGAAUUACUGGGCGUAAAGCGUGCGCAGGCGGUUUUGUAAGACAGUGGUGAAAUCCCCGGGCUCAACCUGGGAACUGCCAUUGUGACUGCAAGGCUAGAGUGCGGCAGAGGGGGAUGGAAUUCCGCGUGUAGCAGUGAAAUGCGUAGAUAUGCGGAGGAACACCGAUGGCGAAGGCAAUCCCCUGGGCCUGCACUGACGCUCAUGCACGAAGCGUGGGGAGCAACAGGAUUAGAUACCCUGGUAGUCCACGCCCUAACGAUGUCAACUGGUUGUUGGGAAUUUA
rnacentral:rRNA from 1 species